rnacentral:rRNA from 1 species
GAUGAACGCUAGCGGGAUGCUUUACACAUGCAAGUCGAGCGGAAAGGUCUCUUCGGAGAUACUCGAGCGGCAAACGGCUGAGUAUAAUGCAGGAAUCUUGCUUUAGUUGGGUAUAGCUAAUUGAAAAAUUAGGUAAUCCCCGAUGUGGACUACGGUCUAAAGCCUUCGGGCGCUAAAGUCGGAGCCUGCACCCCAUCAGGUAGUUGGUAAGGUAAAAGCUUACCAAGCCUAAGACGGGUAGCUGAUCUGAGAGGAUGAUCAGCCAGACUGGAACUGCGACACGGUCCAGACACCUACGGGUGGCAGCAGUGGGGAAUCUUGCGCAAUGGGCGAAAGCCUGACGCAGCAAUCCCGCGUGGAGGAUGAAGGCCUUUCGGUCGUAAACUCCUGUGGAAAUUUAAUAAUACUGAAUGAAUUUCUAGAAAGUGGUUGCUAACUCUG